rnacentral:rRNA from 1 species
AUGCCUGAUAUGAUGGCGGACACGGCGCUGAGCAUGGCGAAGUCCUUGUUGGUCGGCGCCAUUGGCAAGGCCGCCUCUGCCGCCGCCAACAAGAUGAGCCUCGUCAUGGGUGUACGCAAGGAUAUCUGGUUCAUCAAAGAUGAACUAGAAACAAUGCAAGCAUUUUUGGUGGCCGCUGAAGCAAUGAAGGAGAAAGACAUGCUACUCAAGGUGUGGGCGAAGCAAGUAAGAGACUUGUCCUACAAUAUUGAAGAUUGUCUGGGUGAAUUCCUGGUGCAUGUGGCAAGUGCAAGCAAGUGGCGGAAGUUGAUGAAGCUCAAAGAUCGCCACCGAAUCGCCAUGCAAAUCCGAGAUCUCAAAUCAAGAGUUGAAGAAGUGAGCAGCAGGAACACACGCUACAACCUGAUUCAGAAGGAGAAGAUCACUAGAGCCAUUGAUGAGAGGGAUUCUUGCAUGGAAGAUAUUCGUAACCAGUCAGCGAGCAACAUUGAUGAAGUUGAACUUGUGGGGUUUUCCAAGCCCAAACAAGAGUUAAUAAAUCUUACUGGUGUGCAUGACAACAAUGGACCUCCUCAGGUUGUAUGCGUGGUCGGCAUGGGCGGUUUGGGUAAGACUACUCUUACAAGGAAGGUUUAUGAAAGUAUGGAUAACUUUUCAUGUUGUGCUUGGAUAACUGUCUCGCAGUCAUUUAUUAGGAUGCAGUUUCUCAAAGAUAUGACCAAAAAGCUUGCUAGCCCUAAUGAAAUGGAGGACUUACAAAGGAAGGGGGAGGGACAAGGUGACCUCGCCAAGUUUCUUGAGAAAAAGCUACGUGAGGAGAGGUAG